rnacentral:rRNA from 1 species
UAAAGGCCUACCAAGGCGACGAUGCGUAGCCGACCUGAGAGGGUGAUCGGCCACACUGGGACUGAGACACGGCCCAGACUCCUACGGGAGGCAGCAGUAGGGAAUCUUCCGCAAUGGACGAAAGUCUGACGGAGCAACGCCGCGUGAGCGAAGAAGGUCUUCGGAUCGUAAAGCUCUGUUGUCAGGGAAGAACAAGUACCGGACGUAACAGAGCGGUACCUUGACGGUACCUAACCAGAAAGCCACGGCUAACUACGUGCCAGCAGCCGCGGUAAUACGUAGGUGGCAAGCGUUGUCCGGAAUCAUUGGGCGUAAAGCGCGCGCAGGCGGUCUCUUUAAGUCUGAUGUGAAAGCCCACGGCUCAACCGUAGAGCGGUCAUUGGAAACUGGGAGACUUGAGUGCAGAAGAGGAAAGCGGAAUUCCACGUGUAGCGGUGAAAUGCGUAGAGAUAUGGAGGAACACCAGUGGCGAAGGCGGCUCUCUGGCCUGUAACUGACGCUGAGGCGCGAAAGCGUGGGGAGCGAACAGGAUUAGAUACCCUGGUAGUCCACGCCGUAAACGAUGAGUGCUAAGUGUUAGAGGGCUUCCACCCUUUAGUGCUGCAGCUAACGCAUUAAGCACUCCGCCUGGGGAGUACGGCCGCAAGGCUGAAACUCAAAGGAAUUGACGGGGGCCGCACAAGCGGUGGAGCAUGUGGUUUANUUCGAAGCAACGCGAAGAACCUUACCAGGUCUUGACAUCCUUCGCUACCUCUAGAGAUAGAGGGUUCCCCUUCGGGGGACGGAGUGACAGGUGGUGCAUGGUUGUCGUCAGCUCGUGUCGUGAGAUGUUGGGUUAAGUCCCGCAACGAGCGCAACCCUUGACCUUAGUUGCCAGCAUUCAGUUGGGCACUCUAAGGUGACUGCCGGUGACAAACCGGAGGAAGGUGGGGAUGACGUCAAAUCAUCAUGCCCCUUAUGACCUGGGCUACACACGUGCUACAAUGGAUGGUACAAAGGGUCGCGAAACCGCGAGGUGGAGCUAAUCCCAAAAAACCAUUCUCAGUUCGGAUUGCAGGCUGCAACUCGCCUGCAUGAAGCCGGAAUCGCUAGUAAUCGCGGAUCAGCAUGCCGCGGUGAAUACGUUCCCGGGCCUUGUACACACCGCCCGUCACACCACGAGAGUUUGCAACACCCGAAGUCGGUGAGGUAACCCUUACGGGAGCCAGCCGCCGAAGGUGGGGCAGAUGAUUGGGGUGAAGUCGUAACAAGGUAGCCGUAUCGGAAGGUGCGGCU